rnacentral:rRNA from 1 species
UACGUAGGGGGCUAGCGUUGUCCGGAAUCAUUGGGCGUAAAGAGCGUGUAGGCGGUCCGGUAAGUCCGCUGUGAAAGUCGGGGGCUCAACCCUCGAAUGCCGGUGGAUACUGUCGGGCUAGAGUGCGGAAGAGGCGAUCGGAAUUCCUGGUGUAGCGGUGAAAUGCGCAGAUAUCGGGAAGAACACCCGUGGCGAAGGCGGCUCUCUGGGACGGUACUGACGCUGAGACGCGAAAGCGUGGGGAGCGAACAGG